rnacentral:rRNA from 1 species
UACAGAGGGUGCUAGCGUUGUUCGGAAUCAUUGGGCGUAAAGGGCGUGUAGGCGGUUUGUUAAGUCAGGGGUGAAAUCCUGGAGCUCAACUCCAGAACUGCCUUUGAUACUGGCAAGCUUGGAGUCCGGGAGAGGUGAGUGGAACUGCGAGUGUGGAGGUGAAAUUCGUAGAUAUUCGCAAGAACACCAGUGGCGAAGGCGGCUCACUGGCCCGGUACUGACGCUGAGGUGCGAAAGCGUGGGGAGCAAACGGG